UGAAUCCGCGCGGGAGAGUCCCGGCUGGCCGCGAGGCCGUGCCCGGGCGCCGAAGGAGCAAGUACCUCCCUUGAAUCUCUCAGGCCCCGUACCGCGUGGAUGAG
rnacentral:ncRNA from 2 species